rnacentral:lncRNA from 1 species
AAAAAAAAAAAAAAAACAAAAAAAAAAAAAAAAAAAAAAAAAAAAAAAAAAAAAAAAAAAAAAAACGGCAAGCCCAAAAUAAUGGGCUACAAAGCCCAAAAUAAUGGGCUACAAAGCCCAAAAUAAAUGGGCUGGAAUGUUGUGUAGACGGCGAAGGCCCAUAAGCCCAAAAUCGCUCCAACCAGGCGAUCAAAAGUACGCCCAGUAUUCCAAAUUAUACAUGAGCAUUACUCAUGUCAUUCAUACAUAAACAUUCAUGAGCAUCACUCAUGACAAUCCUACAUAAAC